AUGUCCUCCCGAGUGAAAAUUUAAAAAAUUUUUUUUGUUUUUUUUUACGUGAGUGAAAAAUAGUUCCAGAAAAGUUAUUCAUUACGGUAUAAGGAUUCACUAAAAAGUUAACUUUUUGGCCAAAAAUAAUAUUUGAGCAAUGGAUGAUCAAGAAUUUCGCGAUUUUGGCAAAGCCAUGGUUGAUUACAUAGCUGAUUAUAAUGAAACUCUGAGGGACAGAAGUGUCCUUCCUAACGUGGAACCAGGAUAUCUCAGUCAAAUGGUACCGAAUGAAGCUCCAUACAAACCAGAGUCCUGGCAGGAUGUCCUCAAGGAUGUUGAAAGAGUUAUAAUGCCUGGGGUUACACAUUGGAAUUCGCCACGUUUUCAUGCUUACUAUCCAACUGCAAACUCAUAUCCAGGGAUAGUAGGAGAAAUGCUGAGUGCAGGAAUAGGUUGUAUCGGAUUUUCCUGGAUUACCUCACCAGCCUGCACGGAACUCGAAGUAGUCACGAUGAACUGGCUUGGAAAAUUAUUAGGCCUACCAGAAGAAUAUUUAAAUUGUAGUGAUGGCCCUGGAGGAGGCGUAAUUCAGGGAUCGGCUAGUGAAGCUACUUUAGUUGCGUUAUUGGCUGCCAGAGAAAGAACCGUACGGCGCGUCAAAAGUUUACAUCCUGAGUGGGAUGAAAGAACUAUAAGGUCCAAGUUGGUUGCAUAUACGUCUGACCAGUCAAAUUCUUCAGUAGAAAAAAGUGGACUCUUAGGAGCAAUGCCAAUGAAGCUGUUACCGACGGAUGAUAAAUGUAGUUUACGUGGAGCGACUGUUUUGGAAGCAAUAAGGAAAGACGAAGAGGCUGGACUUAUUCCAUGUUAUGUAGUGGCAACUUUAGGAACUACAGGAACCUGUGCUUUUGAUAAUCUCAAUGAAAUUGGUCCAAUUUGUAUUGAAAAUAAUCUAUGGCUUCACAUAGAUGCUGCUUAUGCUGGUGCAGCCUUCAUAUGUCCCGAAUAUCGACAUUUGAUGACUGGUGUCGAAUACGGAGAUUCUUUCAAUUUCAAUCCUCACAAGUGGUUGCUUGUCAAUUUCGAUUGUUCAGCUAUGUGGGUGAAAGACUCAAGUUGGCUGAUCGAUGCUUUCAAUGUUGAUAGAAUUUAUCUAGCGCACGAUAAACAAGGAUUAGCACCAGAUUACAGGCAUUGGCAAAUUCCACUGGGUAGACGUUUCAGAGCCUUAAAACUUUGGUUUGUUCUGCGUUUAUAUGGAGUUGAAGGUCUUCAAAAACAUAUUCGUCACACGAUAAAAUUAGCGCAAAUGUUCGAAAAUCUUGUUAAAUCUGAUAAUAAAUUCGAAAUUUCCACCGAAAUCUCUAUGGGUCUAAUAUGUUUCCGAAUGAAGGGAGACAAUACCCGGACAAGACAGCUUUUAGAUCGAUUGUCGGCGCGAAAGAAAAUCUACAUCGUGGCUGCCACUUACCGAGAAAAAUUGAUUGUGAGAUUCGUAAUCUGCAGCCGGUUUUGUCAGGAGGAAGACAUUCACUUUGCCUGGAAUGAAAUAAGUGGACAAGCUUCUGAAGUUUUAAAUUCUCCCAAACCUGCUUUGACGAUUUUGGAUAAAGAAAAUGAAACUUUGACUAAAGAAAAUGGGGACAUGGUGACGAAGUUCGAAGGCCUCAAACUUGAAUCAGAGAAAAAAUCUCAAAAAAUUGUUUAGGAAAAGCGAAAAAAAGCUGUAUAUAUGAAAUCCAUAUGUAAAUACAUAUAUAUUUUUUGCAUAAACAAAUGCCUCUGAAUUUUCCUCCAGAGGAAGAAAAAUUAAGACAAAUAAUUACAGUUCCAGGAUCGAGUUGGGCAUCUGGAAACCUGGAAAAAUUCAAAUGGACCGGCUGUCAUUGAGGCCAGUUUUAUGGAGAAAUCAAAAUAAAUUAAAACUUAAUUUCUUAGUGAAUUGAAUAAUGAACUGUCAUU